GACGAACGCUGGCGGCGUGCUUAAUACAUGCAAGUUGAGCGGUAAGGGCUUGUACUUGUGGCAACCGGAUGAGCAGCGAAGGUGUGUGUCACGCGAGGGGCAUCUGCCUGUGAGCGAGAGACAACAAUGGGAAAGGGGUGAAUAUCGCGUAGAAAAACUUGAAGCACAGUGUUGAAGGGUGAGAGAUGGCGUUGGAUCAUUGAAAGGUGGUCCAUCGGUGUAUUGGCUAGGUGGUGAGGUAAAAGCUCAUCAAGGGGUUGACACAUAGACGACCUGAGAGGGUGAUCGGCCACCUUGGGACUGUGACAGGGCCCAAUCUCCUACGGGAGGCAGCAGUAGGGAAUCGUCGGCAAUGGACGAAAGUCUGACCGAGCAACGCCGCGUGAGGGAAGAAGGUUGUCGGAUCGUAAAACUCUGUUGGUAGAGAAGAACGUUGGUGAGAGUGGAAAGCUCAUCAAGUGACGGUAACUACCCAGAAAGGGACGGCUAACUACGUG
rnacentral:rRNA from 1 species